UAAUCGUGUAAAAAGGAACCUACCAAUU
rnacentral:sRNA from 1 species